CAGAUAUUAGAUUUAUAGGAAUCAAACUGCAGAUAUUUCUAUUUACAGAUUUUUAGGAAUCAAAGUGCAGAUAUUUCUCUCUGCAGAUUUAUAGGAAUCAAAGUGCAGAUAUUUCUCUUUACAGAUUCAUAGGAAUCAAACUGCAGAUAUUUCUCUUUGCAGAUUUAUAGGAAUCAAAGUACAGAUAUUUCUCUUUGCAGAUCUAUAGGAAUCAAACUGCAGAUAUUUCUAUUUACAGAUUUAUAGGAACCAGGCGUUUUUAGCGGCUGUCCCGUGCGGGUCCGGGUGAAAUCGGGGCUGUCCCUGCUGUCCCCGUGCAGGUGGGCAGUAAAGCACAUCCCGCUUUUCCCGACUCUGGGAGAAGCGGAUUUGGGAGCUGCUCCCUUCUCCCCGCUCUCCCAGCGCUUUUUUGGGACAGAAACCUCGGGGCGCUGCUCCCUUCCCAAAGCCCGGAAUUUUUCAUUGCAACUCGAGCGUUAAAGUCGGGGCUUUCUGGAAGCUGCUUUAAUUUGCUGCUUUAAUUUGCAGCUUUAAUUUGCAGCCUUUGUGCGGCCGGACAAUCCCCGGGCCAGCGGCCGCCUCCCUGCCCUGUCGCGAUUGUCGUUGUCACCCUGACGAGGGGGGAUUCAAGAACAUCCGCGCAAACGCCGGCAGGAGAUUGUUGUGACCCCAGCGCCAAAACCUGACCAAAACGCACCUGGAGAGGAGAGCAAAACCUGGCGACAGCAGAUUGUCCCCUGGCCCUGCUGCUGAUUGGCAGAAACAAGAGCGGGACAAUUGGGGAGGGUCAUGGAUUGAAUGAGAGGGUCACGAUUGGGGCAUUUUUCAUCCUGCAGAUCCAUCUGCUGCCAGGGCUCCGCUGCCCUGAGAGGCUGCUCCGAGCCUUGACAAGUUUGAACAAUAAACACCAGCGAAAGGGGAAGGA